GUCGAGAAUCUUCCGCAAUGGGGGCAACCCUGACGGAGCGAUGCCGCGUGAGGGACGAAGGCCUUCGGGUCGUAAACCUCUGUCACCCGGGACGAAUCAAGUGACGGUACCGGGAGAGGAAGCCACGGCUAACUACGUGCCAGCAGCCGCGGUAACACGUAGGUGGCGAGCGUUAUUCGGAUUCACUGGGCGUAAAGGGUCCGCAGGGGGCCCUCCAAGCCCGCCGUGAAAUCCCGGGGCUCAACCCCGGGCGUGCGGCGGGGACUGGGGGGCUGGAGUGCGCGAUGGGCAGACGGAACACCAGGUGUAGCGGUGGAAUGCGCGGAUAUCUGGUGGAACACCGAUGGCGAAGGCGGUCUGCUGGCGCGUCACUGACCCUCAGGGACGAAAGCGUGGGUAGCAAACAGGAUUAGAAACCCGAGUAGUCC
rnacentral:rRNA from 1 species